GACAGAGGGUGCUAGCGUUGUUCGGAAUUACUGGGCGUAAAGGGCGCGUAGGCGGCUCGUUUAGUCGGGUGUGAAAUCCCGGGGCUCAACCCCGGAACUGCAUUCGAUACUGGCGGGCUAGAGACCGGAAGAGGUGGGUGGAAUACCCAGUGUAGAGGUGAAAUUCGUAGAUAUCGUCUGGAACGCCAAAGGUGAAAACAGUCUGCUGGGGGUGUGCCGACGCUGAGACACGAAAGCCAGGGGAGCGAACGGG
rnacentral:rRNA from 1 species